AGCGAACGCUGGCGGCAGGCUUAACACAUGCAAGUCGAGCGCCCGUAGCAAUACGGGAGCGGCAGACGGGUGAGUAACACGUGGGAACGUGCCUUUUGGUUCGGAACAACUGAGGGAAACUUCAGCUAAUACCGGAUAAGCCCUUACGGGGAAGGAUUUAUCGCCAAACGAUCGGCCCGCGUCUGAUUAGCUAGUUGGUGGGGUAAGUGGCCCGACCAAGGCUACGAUCAGUAGCUGGUCUGAGAGGAUGAUCAGCCACACUGGGACUGAGACACGG
rnacentral:rRNA from 1 species